rnacentral:rRNA from 1 species
CCUACGGGUGGCUGCAGUAGGGAAUAUUGGACAAUGGGGGAAACCCUGAUCCAGCAACGCCGCGUGAGUGAUGAAGGCCUUCGGGUCGUAAAGCUCUGUCGUAAGGAAAAUUGUACCUUACAAGAAAGGACCGGCCAACUUCGUGCCAGCAGCCGCGGUAAUACGGGGGGUCCAAGCGUUGUUCGGAAUCACUGGGCGUAAAGCGCACGUAGGUGGCUUUUCAAGUCUGUUGUGAAAGCCCAGGGCCUAACCCUGGAAGUGCAGCAGAUACUGUUAAGCUUGAGUAUGGGAGAGGAUAGUGGAAUUUCUGGUGUAGUGGUGAAAUACGUAGAUAUCAGAAGGAACACCAGUGGCGAAGGCGGCUAUCUGCCAAUACUGACACUAAGGUGCGAAAGCGUGGGGAUCAAACAGGAUUAGAUACCCUUGUAGUC